rnacentral:lncRNA from 1 species
GGGGACCACAGCACUGAAUCAGACAUGGGGGGACCAAUAUCGAAAGUUACAAUACAAUUUUACAUGCGACAUUAUCCAAAAAUAANNAUAACCUAACCUCAACACGUGCUUGAAGCUUGAAGUGCAACCAAAUUCUUCACACCUUUCCACNACAAAACCACCGAUUGUUGAUGAUUAUCUCCCAAAACGUGCCUUUUUGUCAGCCAAAUCUCUGAUUUAAGCACCGCUCACCGCUCACCGCUGUUCCCCAAUUCCCGACCACCACGAACCCUAUUUCCCCAAAUUCGCACACCACAAUUUCCCCAAACCUACACUCUUUUACUCACCUCAGAUUUCAAUUCACUUUCUUUAAUUUACCCUUACUGAAACACCACGUGAUUUUACCCUUAACAAUUACCAAAUUUGCACGUUUUUAAAAUUUUAACAGUAAAAAAUUUAAUUAAUAACCACGUCAUAACCACAUUCUAUGCCACCUGUCUACACCAUUAAAAUACUGUUGCCAGCACAGAAUAUAUUUAACUCCGUUCACCACAGUUAACGGAAUGUCCUUGAUUGCUUUCAAUUUUCAAAUCUAGGGACCAAAUUGAU